CAAACGGCUCUUUUCAGAGCCACCCCACAUUUCCACCAAAAGCUAG
rfam:Dipodomys ordii contig_61513, whole genome shotgun sequence.